UUGCCCUAAAAAAUAAACACAAUAGGACAAAGCAAACUUUUGCUCACACGGGGGGUUCGAAGAGCAUUGCAAGAAAGAGGGAAGAAAUGGAAAAAGAGUGUGGAAACAAAGUUAGCAGAGGAGAAGUAUGGAUAGCUACCCAUAAGAAGACCAAUGGAGCUUAUGCCAGUGAUGAGGCAAGGAAAAUUGGUGAACAAAUUGAAGCAUAUGAAUCCACAACAUCGUCUCAAUCAAAAAAAAUAUCCAAUUCAGAUUCAUUGGCUCAUGCUUUAGGAAUCCAAGAGCAUUGUGGACGCGUUCGCGGUCUAGGUUUGGGUCCUUGCCCAUCUAAAGUCUUUGGAGUCAAAGUUCGUUCUCAUAGUGGAUCAUCUU
rnacentral:sRNA from 1 species